rnacentral:lncRNA from 8 species
AUGGACACAGUUCUGAUGGUUACUCUGGAGGAGCGACAGUCUCUGGUCAUGUCAGCAUCAUCUGGUAGGACCAUCUCACCACAGACACAGCAACUGGCACAGACACAGGUACAGCAACAGACACAACCAGAGACACAGACACACCAGUCCUCCUCAGAAUGUGCUUCAGAGCCUUCUCAUCAUGACGAUAGCUCCACAGAGAGCAGUGAGGAUGUUUGUUUGCCUGGACCUCUAAGCCUGGAGCUGUCGAAACUGGAACUAGACCACCAGGACACACCCCAGCAGGAUAGGGAGGCUGGUAGUGACUAUAACAGGACUGGAGCUCCUGGGAUAGAGGGAAAACUAGCUGUUAGUAUUGGAGAUCCAGGAGGGCCAGCAGGGCCAGCAGAGUAUGGUUCUGAUGUCUCCCCUCCUGACCCUCUAGACCCUCUCUGGAUUGUCUGUCCAGCGGGUCUCCUCGGUGAGCCAGACAGUGUGACAUCACCAUCGCCUGAUGAUGCCAAUAACAAUGGAUUGGAUUUACACAGCACUUCUCCAGCUGAGGACCCCUGCCUUGCCUCCAAUGUUCCUUCUCCUAGGAUAGAGGGAGAUGUGGAUGUUCUUGCUCCUAAGAUAGAGGGAAACCUGGAGGUUGAAGACAGUGACAGACCUGUAGAAUCAGGGCAUUCCCUGGAUGCUAACCUCUCUGGUCAGCUAGAGGACAUAGAGCUGGGGCAUACCUCGCCCAGACAGACCGAGAGCGACAUGGAGCUAGAGGAGGAGUCACCCAGAUGGACAGAAACAGACAGCCAGCCUGAGGACCACUCAGAGGGGCCUGUGGAGAACAGACAUGUCCCUACUGAUCUGGAACACACAGAAGACAACCAUGUGCCCUUCCCUCUAGGACAUAUCCAUACCCUUCUGGUCCAAUCAGAGGCAGAGGUCAGCCAUGUCACUAUCUCUGUGGUCCAAUCAGAGACUUUUAUCUCCAUUCCUUCUCUAGUGGUCAGUGUGGACAACAACAUGGAUCCCUUCAGACCUCCCUCCCUCCCCCUGGCCCUCUCUGAGGCCCCCUUGGCGGGGCUAGGCCUCUGCGAUCACCCCGACAUCAUCAAACACAGACCUAGCUCCAUCACCUUCUCAGACUACACCUGUAGUCCCUCCACCUGUCAUUCUAGCACCGACCACAGUGUCUUCAUCAAUGACAGCUCCGACUGCAGGGAGUCUUCCUCAGAGGAGGAUGAUGAAGGUGAUGUUGAUGAAGAUGGGGAUGAUAACGACAUAUUCCCAGAGCUGCUUCAGAGCAGGGAGUUCCUGGUCAGUCGGAGGAGAAGGAGCAGCACCAGAGACAAAGUAGUUAAGAAGAGAAGUUCUCUGAAUCCCCAGGCUGAGGCACCAGUCAGGUCUACAACCAACACUACAGCCAGCUCCCACCUCUCCUCCUCUUCUUCCUCUAAAAAACAGAACCACGGCGGCUACGAGGCAGAGACUGAGACCAGCAGCACAGAGGAUACUCCCCUGGUCCAGCCUCAGACCCCGUGGUGUGAGUCUAUGAGCCAGCUGAUGAGGAAACUGGACCAGCUCAACCUGGACAUAGAGGAGGCUCUGAGUGCAUCAUCGUCCCCCUCGGACACACCCUGCACAGCACGCAGACAACAGUGUGGAGCUGUGUCUGGGACGGCAGUAAACCAAUCUCUUAAUGAGAAGGACAGUACACUGUUGCAGCGAGGGGAACCAGACACAGGAGAAUGUCCCAGACAGGACCAACACAAGACCACGGCCCCUCGUAUCUCAGCCAUAGGAACCAGAGUCAGGACCAAGAAGACAGUCGUAAGUUCCUCAGACUCUCCCUCCUCCUUUCGACUCCUGCUUACUCUGUGCCUGUCUGUCUGGGUCUGGGUGAAACAAUGUGAUAUAGAUAUCAUAAGCGAGCUCUCAGUGCCUUCAGAAAGUAUUCAUACCCCUUAACUUAUUCCACAUUUUGUGGUGUUACAGUCUGAAUUCAAUAUAGAUUAAAUAAAAAUAAUAUCUUACCCAUCUACACACAAUACCCCAUAAAGACAAAAUGAAAUAUGUUUUUAGAAUUUCUUUCAAGUAUAAAAAAUUAAAUACAAAAAUACAGUAUCUCAUUUACAUAAGUAUUCGCACCCCUAAGUCAAUGCAUGUUAGAAUCACUUUUGGCAGCGAUUACAGCUGUGAGUCUUUCUGGGUAGGUCUCUAAGAGCUUUGCACAUUAUAAUUUAUAAGACAGCCAUUUCCAAGUCUUGCCAUAGAUUUUGAAGCCGAUUUAAGUCAAAACUUUAACUAGGCCACUCAGGAACAUUCAAUGUCAUCUUGGUAAGCAACUCCAGUGUAUAUUUGGCCUUGUCUUUUAGGUUAUUGUCCUGCUGAAAGGUGAAUUUGUCUCCAAGUGUCUGUUGGAAAGCAGACUGAACCAGGUUUUCCUCUAGGAUUUUGCCUGUACUUAGCUCUAAUCUGUUUAUUUUUAUCCUAAAAAACUCCCUAGUCCUUGCCGAUGACAAGCAUACCCAUAACAUGAUGCAGCACCACCAUGCUUGAAAAUAUGAAGAGUGGUACUCAGUGAUGUGUUGUGUACAAAAACUUUGUAUUCAGGACAUAAAGUAACUUUUUUUGCCACAUGUUUUGCAGUUUUACUUUAGUGCCCUGUUGCAAACAGGAUGCAUAUUUUGAAAUAUGUUAUAUUCUGUAUAGGCAUCCUUCUUUUCACUCUGUCAUUUAGGUUAGUAUUUUGGAGUAACUGCAAUGUUGUUGAUCCAUCCUCAGUUUUCUCCUGUCACAACCAUUAAACUCUGUAACUGUUUUAAAGUCACCCUUGGCCUCCUGGUUAAAUCUCGGUUUCCUUCCUC